rnacentral:misc_RNA from 1 species
GAUGAAGAACGUAGCGAAAUGCGAUAAGUAAUGUGAAUUGCAGAAUUCAGUGAAUCAUCGAAUCUUUGAACGCACAUUGCGCCCCCCGGCAUUCCGGGGAGCAUGCCUGUUCGAGCGUCUCUUGGAAUACCCUUCACGCCGGCGGAGGCGUGGUCAUGGCGGCGGUGGCGUGCCCCGGGAGGGAGGCCACCGCGCUGGAAUCCAUGGGCGGACGCCUGCCGCGUGGCCGAGCGUGAUAAGACGCACUGGCGCUCGCGCGCGGCGAGGCUGCCGGCCCUGGCCCGCUCGUCGGGCGGGGACAGCAACACUUGGGAACUCCUCGAAUCAGGUAGGGAUACCCGCUGAACUUAAGCAUAUCAAUAAGCGGAGGA